rnacentral:rRNA from 1 species
UUCUGUAUGGAAGGGCCAUCGCUCAAAGGAUAAAAGGUACGCCGGGGAUAACAGGCUGAUCCUGACCAAGAGUUCACAUCGACGUCAGGGUUUGGCACCUCGAUGUCGGCUCAUCGCAUCCUGGGGCUGGAGCAGGUCCCAAGGGUUCGGCUGUUCGCCGAUUAAAGCGGUACGUGAGCUGGGUUUAGAACGUCGCGAGACAGUUCGGUCCCUAUCUGUUGUGGGCGGAGGAGAAUUGAGUGGAGGUUUCCUUAGUACGAGAGGACCGGGAAGCACUGACCUCUAGUGUACGAGUUGUCCCGCCAGGGGCAUCGCUCGGUAGCUACGUCGGGAAAGGAUAAUCGCUGAAAGCAUAUAAGCGAGAAGCCAACCACAAGAUGAGUUCUCCCUGAAGACCCGUGGUAGAUGACCACGUUGAUAGGCUGGAUGUGGAAGAGCAGCGAUGCUCGUAGCUGACCAGUACUAAUCGGUCGUUUGACUUGACCAU